AGAGUUUGAUCCUGGCUCAGAUUGAACGCUGGCGGCAUGCCUUACACAUGCAAGUCGAACGGCAGCAUGAUCUAGCUUGCUAGAUUGAUGGCGAGUGGCGAACGGGUGAGUAAUACAUCGGAACGUGCCCUGUAGUGGGGGAUAACUAGUCGAAAGAUUAGCUAAUACCGCAUACGACCUGAGGGUGAAAGUGGGGGACCGCAAGGCCUCAUGCUAUAGGAGCGGCCGAUGUCUGAUUAGCUAGUUGGUGGGGUAAAGGCCCACCAAGGCGACGAUCAGUAGCUGGUCUGAGAGGACGAUCAGCCACACUGGGACUGAGACACGGCCCAGACUCCUACGGGAGGCAGCAGUGGGGAAUUUUGGACAAUGGGGGCAACCCUGAUCCAGCAAUGCCGCGUGUGUGAAGAAGGCCUUCGGGUUGUAAAGCACUUUUGUCCGGAAAGAAAUCGCACUUACUAAUAUUAGGUGUGGAUGACGGUACCGGAAGAAUAAGGACCGGCUAACUACGUGCCAGCAGCCGCGGUAAUACGUAGGGUCCAAGCGUUAAUCGGAAUUACUGGGCGUAAAGCGUGCGCAGGCGGUUGUGCAAGACCGAUGUGAAAUCCCCGGGCUUAACCUGGGAAUUGCAUUGGUGACUGCACGGCUAGAGUGUGUCAGAGGGGGGUAGAAUUCCACGUGUAGCAGUGAAAUGCGUAGAGAUGUGGAGGAAUACCGAUGGCGAAGGCAGCCCCCUGGGAUAACACUGACGCUCAUGCACGAAAGCGUGGGGAGCAAACAGGAU
rnacentral:rRNA from 1 species